GACGUAGGAGGCGAGCGUUGUCCGGAUUCAUUGGGCGUAAAGAGCACGCAGGCGGUUUGGCAAGUCGGAUGUGAAAACCCGGAGCUCAACUCCGGACCUGCAUCCGAAACUGCCCGACUAGAGGUAGGUAGGGGAGAUCGGAAUUCCUGGUGUAGCGGUGAAAUGCGCAGAUAUCAGGAGGAACACCGGUGGCGAAGGCGGAUCUCUGGGCAUCUCCUGACGCUGAGGCGCGAAAGCGUGGGGAGCAAACGGG
rnacentral:rRNA from 1 species